rnacentral:rRNA from 1 species
GUUAUAGGGUCAAGCGAACAAGUGCAUGUGGUGGAUGCCUUGGCGAUCACAGGCGAUGAAGGACGCGGUAGCCUGCGAAAAGCUACGGGGAGCUGGCAAACGAGCUUUGAUCCGUAGAUGUCCGAAUGGGGAAACCCGGCCCUUUUGGGUCAUCCUAGACUGAAUACAUAGGUCUAGUGAAGCGAACGCGGUGAACUGAAACAUCUAAGUAACCGCAGGAAAAGAAAUCAACCGAGAUUCCCAAAGUAGUGGCGAGCGAAAUGGGAAGAGCCUGUACUCUUUAUUUGUAUUGUUAGCCGAACGCUCUGGAAAGUGCGGCCAUAGCAGGUGAUAGCCCUGUAGGCGAAAACAGUAUGAAAGAACUAGGUGUACGACAAGUAGGGCGGGACACGUGAAAUCCUGUCUGAAGAUGGGGGGACCAUCCUCCAAGGCUAAAUACUCGUGAUCGACCGAUAGUGAACCAGUACCGUGAGGGAAAGGCGAAAAGAACCCCGGGAGGGGAGUGAAAUAGAUCCUGAAACCGCAUGCAUACAAACAGUCGGAGCCUCUUCGGGGGUGACGGCGUACCUUUUGUAUAAUGGGUCAGCGACUUACGUUCAGUAGCAAGCUUAACCGAAUAGGGCAGGCGUAGCGAAAGCGAGUCCGAAUAGGGCGUUCAGUUGCUGGGCGUAGACCCGAAACCAGGUGAUCUAUCCAUGGCCAGGAUGAAGGUGCGGUAACACGUACUGGAGGUCCGAACCCACUAACGUUGAAAAGUUAGGGGAUGAGCUGUGGAUAGGGGUGAAAGGCUAAACAAACCUGGAAAUAGCUGGUUCUCUCCGAAAACUAUUUAGGUAGUGCCUCGUGUCUCACCUUCGGGGGUAGAGCACUGUCAUGGUUGGGGGGUCUAUUGCAGAUUACCCCGCCAUAGCAAACUCCGAAUACCGAAGAGUGCAAUCACGGGAGACAGACAUCGGGUGCUAACGUCCGGUGUCAAGAGGGAAACAACCCAGACCGCCAGCUAAGGUCCCCAAAUAUGGCUAAGUGGGAAACGAAGUGGGAAGGCUAAAACAGUCAGGAGGUUGGCUUAGAAGCAGCCACCCUUUAAAGAAAGCGUAAUAGCUCACUGAUCGAGUCGUCCUGCGCGGAAGAUGUAACGGGGCUAAGCCAUAUACCGAAGCUGCGGAUGCGAGCUGGUCUCGCAUGGUAGGAGAGCGUUCCGUAAGCCUGCGAAGGUGCGUUGAAAAGCGUGCUGGAGGUAUCGGAAGUGCGAAUGCUGACAUGAGUAGCGAUAAAGGGGGUGAAAGGCCCCCUCGCCGUAAGCCCAAGGUUUCCUACGCAACGUUCAUCGGCGUAGGGUGAGUCGGCCCCUAAGGCGAGGCAGAAAUGCGUAGCUGAUGGGAAGCAGGUCAAUAUUCCUGCACCAUUGUUAGAUGCGAUGGGGGGACGGAUCGCGGAAGGUUGUCCGGGUGUUGGAAGUCCCGGUCGCUGCAUUGGAGAAGGCGCUUAGGCAAAUCCGGGCGCAGGAUUCAAGGGUGUGGCGCGAGCUCCUUCGGGAGCGAAGCAAUUGGAAGUGGUUCCAAGAAAAGCCUCUAAGCUUCAGUCUAACGAUGACCGUACCGCAAACCGACACAGGUGGGCGAGAUGAGUAUUCUAAGGCGCUUGAGAGAACUCGGGAGAAGGAACUCGGCAAAUUGGUACCGUAACUUCGGGAUAAGGUACGCCCUGGUAGCUUGACUGGCCUGCGCCAGAAGGGUGAAGGGGUUGCAAUAAACUGGUGGCUGCGACUGUUUAAUAAAAACACAGCACUCUGCAAACACGAAAGUGGACGUAUAGGGUGUGACGCCUGCCCGGUGCCGGAAGAUUAAAUGAUGGGGUGCAAGCUCUUGAUUGAAGUCCCGGUAAACGGCGGCCGUAACUAUAACGGUCCUAAGGUAGCGAAAUUCCUUGUCGGGUAAGUUCCGACCUGCACGAAUGGCGUAACGAUGGCCACACUGUCUCCUCCCGAGACUCAGCGAAGUUGAAGUGAGGGUGUGACGCCUGCCCGGUGCCGGAAAAGAAAUUAGAUUAAAUGAUGGGGUGCAAGCUCUUGAUUGAAGUCCCGGUAAACGGCGGCCGUAACUAUAACGGUCCUAAGGUAGCGAAAUUCCUUGUCGGGUAAGUUCCGACCUGCACGAAUGGCGUAACGAUGGCCACACUGUCUCCUCCCGAGACUCAGCGAAGUUGAAGUGUUUGUGAUGAUGCAAUCUACCCGCGGCUAGACGGAAAGACCCCAUGAACCUUUACUGUAGCUUUGCAUUGGACUUUGAACCGAUCUGUGUAGGAUAGGUGGGAGGCUAUGAAACCGGAACGCUAGUUUCGGUGGAGCCGUCCUUGAAAUACCACCCUGGUUUGUUUGAGGUUCUAACCUUGGCCCGUGAUCCGGGUCGGGGACAGUGCAUGGUAGGCAGUUUGACUGGGGCGGUCUCCUCCCAAAGCGUAACGGAGGAGUACGAAGGUACGCUAGGUACGGUCGGAAAUCGUGCUGAUAGUGCAAUGGCAUAAGCGUGCUUAACUGCGAGACCGACAAGUCGAGCAGGUGCGAAAGCAGGUCAUAGUGAUCCGGUGGUUCUGUAUGGAAGGGCCAUCGCUCAACGGAUAAAAGGUACUCUGGGGAUAACAGGCUGAUACCGCCCAAGAGUUCAUAUCGACGGCGGUGUUUGGCACCUCGAUGUCGGCUCAUCUCAUCCUGGGGCUGUAGCCGGUCCCAAGGGUAUGGCUGUUCGCCAUUUAAAGAGGUACGUGAGCUGGGUUUAAAACGUCGUGAGACAGUUUGGUCCCUAUCUGCCGUGGGCGUUGGAAGUUUGAAGGGGGCUGCUCCUAGUACGAGAGGACCGGAGUGGACGAACCUCUGGUGUACCGGUUGUGACGCCAGUCGCAUCGCCGGGUAGCUAUGUUCGGAAGAGAUAACCGCUGAAAGCAUCUAAGCGGGAAACUCGCCUUAAGAUGAGACUUCCCCGGGGACUUGAUCCCCUUGAAGGGUCGUUCGAGACCAGGACGUUGAUAGGUCGGGUGUGUAAGCGCAGUAAUGCGUUCAGCUAACCGAUACUAAUUGCCCGUACGGCUUGAUCCUAUAACA